GGGUUGUGAGGUUAAGCGACUAAGCGUACACGGUGGAUGCCCUGGCAGUCAGAGGCGAUGAAGGACGUGCUAAUCUGCGAAAAGCGUCGGUAAGGUGAUAUGAACCGUUAUAGCCGGCGAUGUCCGAAUGGGGAAACCCAGUGCAAUUCGUUGCACUAUCGUUAACUGAAUACAUAGGUUAACGAGGCGAACCGGGGGAACUGAAACAUCUAAGUACCCCGAGGAAAAGAAAUCAACCGAGAUUCCCCCAGUAGCGGCGAGCGAACGGGGAGCAGCCCAGAGUCUGAAUCAGCUUGUGUGUUAGUGGAACGGUCUGGAAAGUCCGACGGUACAGGGUGAUAGUCCCGUACACCAAAAUGCACAGGUUGUGAACUCGAAGAGUAGGGCGGGACACGUGGUAUCCUGUCUGAAUAUGGGGGGACCAUCCUCCAAGGCUAAAUACUCCUGACUGACCGAUAGUGAACCAGUACCGUGAGGGAAAGGCGAAAAGAACCCCGGCGAGGGGAGUGAAAAAGAACCUGAAACCGUGUACGUACAAGCAGUGGGAGCACCUUCGGGUGUGACUGCGUACCUUUUGUAUAAUGGGUCAGCGACUUAUAUUCUGUAGCAAGGUUAACCGUAUAGGGGAGCCGCAGGGAAACCGAGUCUUAACUGGGCGUUAAGUUGCAGGGUAUAGACCCGAAACCCGGUGAUCUAGCCAUGGGCAGGUUGAAGGUUGGGUAACACUAACUGGAGGACCGAACCGACUAAUGUUGAAAAAUUAGCGGAUGACUUGUGGCUGGGGGUGAAAGGCCAAUCAAACCGGGAGAUAGCUGGUUCUCCCCGAAAGCUAUUUAGGUAGCGCCUCGUGAACUCAUCUUCGGGGGUAGAGCACUGUUUCGGCUAGGGGGUCAUCCCGACUUACCAACCCGAUGCAAACUACGAAUACCGAAGAAUGUUAUCACGGGAGACACACGGCGGGUGCUAACGUCCGUCGUGAAGAGGGAAACAACCCAGACCGCCAGCUAAGGUCCCAAAGUCAUGGUUAAGUGGGAAACGAUGUGGGAAGGCACAGACAGCCAGGAUGUUGGCUUAGAAGCAGCCAUCAUUUAAAGAAAGCGUAAUAGCUCACUGGUCGAGUCGGCCUGCGCGGAAGAUGUAACGGGGCUAAACCAUGCACCGAAGCUGCGGCAGCGACACUAUGUGUUGUUGGGUAGGGGAGCGUUCUGUAAGCCUGCGAAGGUGUGCUGUGAGGCAUGCUGGAGGUAUCAGAAGUGCGAAUGCUGACAUAAGUAACGAUAAAGCGGGUGAAAAGCCCGCUCGCCGGAAGACCAAGGGUUCCUGUCCAACGUUAAUCGGGGCAGGGUGAGUCGACCCCUAAGGCGAGGCCGAAAGGCGUAGUCGAUGGGAAACAGGUUAAUAUUCCUGUACUUGGUGUUACUGCGAAGGGGGGACGGAGAAGGCUAUGUUAGCCGGGCGACGGUUGUCCCGGUUUAAGCAUGUAGGCUGGUUAUCCAGGCAAAUCCGGAUAAUCAAGGCUGAGGUGUGAUGACGAGGCACUACGGUGCUGAAGUAACAAAUGCCCUGCUUCCAGGAAAAGCCUCUAAGCAUCAGGUAACAUCAAAUCGUACCCCAAACCGACACAGGUGGUCAGGUAGAGAAUACCAAGGCGCUUGAGAGAACUCGGGUGAAGGAACUAGGCAAAAUGGUGCCGUAACUUCGGGAGAAGGCACGCUGGUGUGUAGGUGAAGUCCCUGCGGAUGGAGCUGAGACCAGUCGAAGAUACCAGCUGGCUGCAACUGUUUAUUAAAAACACAGCACUGUGCAAACACGAAAGUGGACGUAUACGGUGUGACGCCUGCCCGGUGCCGGAAGGUUAAUUGAUGGGGUUAUCCGUAAGGAGAAGCUCUUGAUCGAAGCCCCGGUAAACGGCGGCCGUAACUAUAACGGUCCUAAGGUAGCGAAAUUCCUUGUCGGGUAAGUUCCGACCUGCACGAAUGGCGUAAUGAUGGCCAGGCUGUCUCCACCCGAGACUCAGUGAAAUUGAACUCGCUGUGAAGAUGCAGUGUACCCGCGGCAAGACGGAAAGACCCCGUGAACCUUUACUAUAGCUUGACACUGAACAUUGAGCCUUGAUGUGUAGGAUAGGUGGGAGGCUUUGAAGCGUGGACGCCAGUCUGCGUGGAGCCAACCUUGAAAUACCACCCUUUAAUGUUUGAUGUUCUAACGUUGGCCCCUUAUCGGGGUUGCGGACAGUGUCUGGUGGGUAGUUUGACUGGGGCGGUCUCCUCCCAAAGCGUAACGGAGGAGCACGAAGGUUAGCUAAUCCUGGUCGGACAUCAGGAGGUUAGUGCAAUGGCAUAAGCUAGCUUGACUGCGAGCGUGACGGCGCGAGCAGGUGCGAAAGCAGGUCAUAGUGAUCCGGUGGUUCUGAAUGGAAGGGCCAUCGCUCAACGGAUAAAAGGUACUCCGGGGAUAACAGGCUGAUACCGCCCAAGAGUUCAUAUCGACGGCGGUGUUUGGCACCUCGAUGUCGGCUCAUCACAUCCUGGGGCUGAAGUAGGUCCCAAGGGUAUGGCUGUUCGCCAUUUAAAGUGGUACGCGAGCUGGGUUUAGAACGUCGUGAGACAGUUCGGUCCCUAUCUGCCGUGGGCGCUGGAGAAUUGAGGGGGGCUGCUCCUAGUACGAGAGGACCGGAGUGGACGCAUCACUGGUGUUCGGGUUGUCAUGCCAAUGGCACUGCCCGGUAGCUAAAUGCGGAAGAGAUAAGUGCUGAAAGCAUCUAAGCACGAAACUUGCCCCGAGAUGAGUUCUCCCUGAGACUUUAAGUCUCCUGAAGGAACGUUGAAGACGACGACGUUGAUAGGCCGGGUGUGUAAGCGCAGCGAUGCGUUGAGCUAACCGGUACUAAUGAACCGUGAGGCUUAACCUUACAACGCCGAAG
rnacentral:rRNA from 1 species